rnacentral:tRNA from 1 species
GCUGGUGUGGCUCAACGGGAGAGCAGCUGACUUGUAAUCAGCAGGUUGUAGGUGCGAUUCCUAUCACCAGCUCCA